AGCCUUUUGAAUCCGUGCCGAGAUUUCUUUAGACACCAAACCAUCGGUAGUGAUGAUACUACCAAGAUAAGUGGAGCG
rfam:Schistosoma mansoni strain Puerto Rico chromosome W, complete genome